rnacentral:rRNA from 1 species
AACGAACGCUGGCGGCGUGCUUAACACAUGCAAGUCGAACGCGAAAGGGACUUCGGUCCUGAGUAAAGUGGCGCACGGGUGAGUAACGCGUAGAUAACCUGUCUUCAUGUCUGGAAUAAUACGCCGAAAGGGGUACUAAUACCGGAUAUUCUUGCUUUUCAUAAGUUAUGCAAGCAAAGGUGGCCUCUGCAUAUGCUACUGCAUGAAGAGGGGUCUGCGUACCAUUAGCUAGUAGGUGGGGUAAUGGCCUACCUAGGCGACGAUGGUUAGCGGGUCUGAGAGGAUGAUCCGCCACACUGGCACUGGAACACGGGCCAGACUCCUACGGGAGGCAGCAGUGAGGAAUAUUGCGCAAUGGGGGAAACCCUGACGCAGCGACGCCGCGUGAGUGAGGGAAAGGCCUUCGGGUCGUAAAGCUCUGUCAAGAGGAAAGAAGUGUACAAUGGCUAAUACCUGUUGUAUUUGACGGUACCUCUAAAGGAGGCACCGGCUAACUCCGUGCCAGCAGCAGC